rnacentral:rRNA from 1 species
UUAAGCGACUAAGCGUACACGGUGGAUGCCCUGGCAGUCAGAGGCGAUGAAGGACGUGCUAAUCUGCGAAAAGCGUCGGUAAGGUGAUAUGAACCGUUAUAACCGGCGAUGUCCGAAUGGGGAAACCCAGUGCAAUUCGUUGCACUAUCGUUAACUGAAUACAUAGGUUAACGAGGCGAACCGGGGGAACUGAAACAUCUAAGUACCCCGAGGAAAAGAAAUCAACCGAGAUUCCCCCAGUAGCGGCGAGCGAACGGGGAGCAGCCCAGAGUCUGAAUCAGCUUGUGUGUUAGUGGAACGGUCUGGAAAGUCCGACGGUACAGGGUGAUAGUCCCGUACACCAAAAUGCACAGGCUGUGAACUCGAAGAGUAGGGCGGGACACGUGGUAUCCUGUCUGAAUAUGGGGGGACCAUCCUCCAAGGCUAAAUACUCCUGACUGACCGAUAGUGAACCAGUACCGUGAGGGAAAGGCGAAAAGAACCCCGGCGAGGGGAGUGAAAAAGAACCUGAAACCGUGUACGUACAAGCAGUGGGAGCACCUUCGGGUGUGACUGCGUACCUUUUGUAUAAUGGGUCAGCGACUUAUAUUCUGUAGCAAGGUUAACCGUAUAGGGGAGCCGCAGGAAACCGAGUCUUAACUGGGCGUUAAGUUGCAGGGUAUAGACCCGAAACCCGGUGAUUCAGCCAUGGGCAGGUUGAAGGUUGGGUAACACUAACUGGAGGACCGAACCGACUAAUGUUGAAAAAUUAGCGGAUGACUUGUGGCUGGGGGUGAAAGGCCAAUCAAACCGGGAGAUAGCUGGUUCUCCCCGAAAGCUAUUUAGGUAGCGCCUCGUGAACUCAUCUUCGGGGGUAGAGCACUGUUUCGGCUAGGGGGUCAUCCCGACUUACCAACCCGAUGCAAACUACGAAUACCGAAGAAUGUUAUCACGGGAGACACACGGCGGGUGCUAACGUCCGUCGUGAAGAGGGAAACAACCCAGACCGCCAGCUAAGGUCCCAAAGUCAUGGUUAAGUGGGAAACGAUGUGGGAAGGCACAGACAGCCAGGAUGUUGGCUUAGAAGCAGCCAUCAUUUAAAGAAAGCGUAAUAGCUCACUGGUCGAGUCGGCCUGCGCGGAAGAUGUAACGGGGCUAAACCAUGCACCGAAGCUGCGGCAGCGACACUAUGUGUUGUUGGGUAGGGGAGCGUUCUGUAAGCCUGCGAAGGUGUGCUGUGAGGCAUGCUGGAGGUAUCAGAAGUGCGAAUGCUGACAUAAGUAACGAUAAAGCGGGUGAAAAGCCCGCUCGCCGGAAGACCAAGGGUUCCUGUCCAACGUUAAUCGGGGCAGGGUGAGUCGACCCCUAAGGCGAGGCCGAAAGGCGUAGUCGAUGGGAAACAGGUUAAUAUUCCUGUACUUGGUGUUACUGCGAAGGGGGGACGGAGAAGGCUAUGUUAGCCGGGCGACGGUUGUCCCGGUUUAAGCAUGUAGGCUGGUUGUCCAGGCAAAUCCGGAUAAUCAAGGCUGAGGUGUGAUGACGAGGCACUACGGUGCUGAAGUAACAAAUGCCCUGCUUCCAGGAAAAGCCUCUAAGCAUCAGGUAACAUCAAAUCGUACCCCAAACCGACACAGGUGGUCAGGUAGAGAAUACCAAGGCGCUUGAGAGAACUCGGGUGAAGGAACUAGGCAAAAUGGUGCCGUAACUUCGGGAGAAGGCACGCUGGUGUGUAGGUGAAGCCCCUGCGGGUGGAGCUGAGACCAGUCGAAGAUACCAGCUGGCUGCAACUGUUUAUUAAAAACACAGCACUGUGCAAACACGAAAGUGGACGUAUACGGUGUGACGCCUGCCCGGUGCCGGAAGGUUAAUUGAUGGGGUUAUCCGUAAGGAGAAGCUCUUGAUCGAAGCCCCGGUAAACGGCGGCCGUAACUAUAACGGUCCUAAGGUAGCGAAAUUCCUUGUCGGGUAAGUUCCGACCUGCACGAAUGGCGUAAUGAUGGCCAGGCUGUCUCCACCCGAGACUCAGUGAAAUUGAACUCGCUGUGAAGAUGCAGUGUACCCGCGGCAAGACGGAAAGACCCCGUGAACCUUUACUAUAGCUUGACACUGAACAUUGAGCCUUGAUGUGUAGGAUAGGUGGGAGGCUUUGAAGCGUGGACGCCAGUCUGCGUGGAGCCAACCUUGAAAUACCACCCUUUAAUGUUUGAUGUUCUAACGUUGGCCCCUUACCGGGGUUGCGGACAGUGUCUGGUGGGUAGUUUGACUGGGGCGGUCUCCUCCCAAAGCGUAACGGAGGAGCACGAAGGUUAGCUAAUCCUGGUCGGACAUCAGGAGGUUAGUGCAAUGGCAUAAGCUAGCUUGACUGCGAGCGUGACGGCGCGAGCAGGUGCGAAAGCAGGUCAUAGUGAUCCGGUGGUUCUGAAUGGAAGGGCCAUCGCUCAACGGAUAAAAGGUACUCCGGGGAUAACAGGCUGAUACCGCCCAAGAGUUCAUAUCGACGGCGGUGUUUGGCACCUCGAUGUCGGCUCAUCACAUCCUGGGGCUGAAGUAGGUCCCAAGGGUAUGGCUGUUCGCCAUUUAAAGUGGUACGCGAGCUGGGUUUAGAACGUCGUGAGACAGUUCGGUCCCUAUCUGCCGUGGGCGCUGGAGAAUUGAGGGGGGCUGCUCCUAGUACGAGAGGACCGGAGUGGACGCAUCACUGGUGUUCGGGUUGUCAUGCCAAUGGCACUGCCCGGUAGCUAAAUGCGGAAGAGAUAAGUGCUGAAAGCAUCUAAGCACGAAACUUGCCCCGAGAUGAGUUCUCCCUGAGACUUUAAGUCUCCUGAAGGAACGUUGAAGACGACGACGUUGAUAGGCCGGGUGUGUAAGCGCAGCGAUGCGUUGAGCUAACCGGUACUAAUGAACCGUGAGGCUUAACCU